CAAUCACUUGUCCUUUAAAUGAGGACCCGUAUGAAUGGCAUAACGAGGGCUCAACUGUCUCCCUACCCCAGUCAAUGAAAUUGAUCUUCCCGUGCAGAAGCGGGAAUAACACCAUAAGACGAGAAGACCCUAUGGAGCUUUAGACAUCAAGCAGCCUACAGCAAGCAACCCCAUAAACGGCUACAAACAACGUUAACCCUGCUGAACUGUCUUCGGUUGGGGCGACCGUGGGAUAAAAUUAACCUCCCAUGAGGACCGGAAUAAACAUUCCAAAACCAAGGGCUACCGCCCUAAGCAACAGAAACUCUGACCUAACUGAUCCGGCCUACCGCCGAUCAACGGACCGAGUUACCCUAGGGAUAACAGCGCAAUCCCCUCCUAGAGCCCC
rnacentral:rRNA from 1 species